UAGGAAGUGGUAUAAUGGGAGUACGAGGAGUUUUGAUCUCCUGGGAAUAGGUUCAAUUCCUGUCUUUCUA
rnacentral:tRNA from 1 species